rnacentral:rRNA from 1 species
GACGAACGCUGGCUGCGUGCUUAACACAUGCAAGUCGAACGGAAAGGCCCUUCUUUCAGUGUACUCUUUUGGCGAACGGGUGAGUAACGCGUGGGUGCUCUUCUCUACACUUCGGGAUAAUCCUGGGAAACUUGGUCUAAUGCCGGAUAGUAGCCUUUUUUCUUGUGUUGGUUGGACAGUUUUUUCGGUAUAGGAUGAGCUCUCUGCCUAUCAGCGUGUUGGUUUGGUAAUUUCGUACCAAGGCGGCGACGGGUAGCCGGCCUGAGCGGGUGGACGGCGACACUGGGACUGAGAUAAGGGCAAGAAUCCGACGGGAAGAAGGAGUGAGGAACAUUGCACAAUGGGCGCAAGCCUGAUGCAGCGACGCCGCGUGGGGGAUGACGGACUUCGGGUUGUAAACUGCUUUAGCUAGGGACGAAGCUUUUUGUGACGGUACCUAGAUAAGAAGCACCGGCUAACUACGUG